AUCAGGGGCCCUGGCAAGGGCCUUCGGAUCGCCGCUCUAACCUACCCACCUGAGCCGAUUCGUGUCUGUACCGCCCACAAGGUGUGUUUGACGAGAUUGCGACUGGAACGAGGUUGUCCCGAGGGACGGAAGCUAACUAGGUAGAUCGGCAACACACUGAUGGUUCGUAUGAAGGCCCACGACGCCCGAAUGCGCCCGACAGCUGGCCCUCACCUGCUCACUUCCCCC
rnacentral:ncRNA from 1 species